rnacentral:lncRNA from 1 species
CAACUCAAUAUACUAAUGACUAAGAAUAUUUUAGAUUAGGGCUAUCAAGGAUUUAGGUCUCACUAGCGUAAUCUCAUCACGGCCCUAAAAUCAUUGCUUAAAUCUAUGGGGUUCAUUAUAGUCUAAGAACAAUAAGAUGUAGCAUAUAAUGAAUAAAAAAAAUAUCUAUUUUAUUAAUAAUAUAAAUAUCAAUUAUAUGAGUUUGGAAGAUAAAUUAUAAUAAAUAUCCUAUCG